rnacentral:tRNA from 1 species
GGCGAGGUAGCCAAGGUGGUCACGGCGGACGCCUGAAGAGCGCCAGAUAGGGGUUCGACUCCUCUCCUCGCCA